rnacentral:rRNA from 1 species
CCUACGGGAGGCAGCAGUGAGGAAUAUUGGUCAAUGGGAGAGAGCCUGAACCAGCCAAGCCGCGUGAGGGAAGACGGCCCUAUGGGUUGUAAACCUCUUUUGUCGGAGAACAAAACCCGGGACGUGUCCCGGACUGCGUGUAUCCGAAGAAAAAGCAUCGGCUAACUCCGUGCCAGCAGCCGCGGUAAUACGGAGGAUGCGGGCGGUAUCCGGAUUUAUUGGGUUUAAAGGGUGCGUAGGCGGUCCGUUAAGUCAGCGGUAAAAUUGCGGGGCUCAACCCCGUCGAGCCGUUGAAACUGGCAGACUUGAGUUGGCGAGAAGUACGCGGAAUGCGCGGUGUAGCGGUGAAAUGCAUAGAUAUCGCGCAGAACUCUGAUUGCGAAGGCAGCGUACCGGCGCCAGACUGACGCUGAGGCACGAAAGCGUGGGGAUCGAACAGGAUUAGAUACCCUUGUAGUC